ensembl:lncRNA
ACAGACUCAGAUGCAGGUAUUAUGUCUUGUCUGAAACAAUGGCAGGAUAGAGAAAAGCAAAAAAGCGAAAUUUCACGGAGGUUGAAGUGGAGACACUUGUGGGUGAGGUGGAGGCCCGAAAAGUAAUUUUGUUCGGCGGUCACGGGACUGGGAUCACUAACAUUAAAAAGCAGAGUGAGUGGCAACAUGUUGCUGCGGCAGUGAACUCUGUCAGUGGCACGGAGCACACAGUCCCAGAAUUAAAAAAGAAGUGGUCUGACAUAAAGGUGGGUGCAAAGCAGAGGCUGUCCUCACACCGCCAGAGCGUGAAUGCAACUGGAGGGGGACCCAGUACUCCUGACCUAACACCAAUUGACACGAAAGUUGCAUCCAUAAUUGGCACCGCAAGCGUGAGUGGCAUCGUGUCCGAAAGGGAAGGAGACACUGACAACACAGAAGAACAAGCUGGCAUGGCUCGGCUCAGGGUGGACUGGCACACUCCUGACCGAUCGGCCAGCUCCCGCUGGAAGGCCCCUGUUGCCAGGAACCCCAGCGUGGUCAGCACCUGUGGGCACGGACAACCCCUGGCUCCUGGCUGUGUGGCGCUCUAGGGCCGGCCGCAGCUCUGCGCACAGCUCCAGUAAUACUGGCCUGGGGAAACGAAAUCGGCUCAUGAGCCAAUCAUCAUCAUUUGCGACGACUGCUCGUCAAUUUGAACGCAAGUUGACUGAAUUGCAGUACAGGGGUGCACUGCAGUAGUGGCUGCAUUACGCACCUGAGAGGAGUGGCGGGGUACCAAGAAAAGGCAAAGAGAUAUAAGGACAUAUGCUAUUGUAAUGUUUUGAAUUAUAGGGUUAUUAGGGUUAAUGUUCAUAAUUCCUUAAGAUGUUUGUUUGUAAUUGCUUUUGAAUAUUUAUUAAAUAACUUUUUGAAU